rnacentral:rRNA from 1 species
GACGAACGCUGGCGGCGUGCUUAACACAUGCAAGUCGAACGGAAAGGCCCUGCUUUUGUGGGGUGCUCGAGUGGCUAACGGGUGAGUAACACGUGAGUAACCUGCCCUUGACUUUGGGAUAACUUCAGGAAACUGUGGCUAAUACCGGAUAGGAGCUCCUGCUGCAUGGUGGGGGUUGGAAAUUUUCGGCGGUUGGGGAUGGACUCGCGGCUUAUCAGCUUGUUGGUCGGGUAGUGGCUUACCAAGGCAUUGACGGGUAGCCCGCCUGUGAGGGUGGCCGGCCACAGUGGGACUGCGGUACGGCCCAGUCUAGUACGGUAGGCAGCAGGGGGGAAUCUUGCACAAUGGGCCGAAGCCUGAGGCAGCAACGCCGCGUGCGGGAUGACGGCCUUCGGGUUGUAAACCGCUUUCGCCUGUGACGAAGCGUGAGUGACGGUAAUGGGUAAAGAAGCACCGGCUAACUACGUG